AACGAACGUUGGCGGCGUGGAUUAGGCAUGCAAGUCGAACGCGUGAGAGGGGCUUGCUCCUCAAGCGAGUGGCGAACGGGUGAGUAACGCGUGGGAAACCUGCCCCGAAGCGUGGAAUAACACUCCCAACGGGGUGCUAAUACCGCAUGGUGUCGCCGGGUGGCAUCAUUUGGCGAUUAAAGGUGGGGACCGUAAGGCCUGCCACUUUGGGAUGGUCCCGCGUCUGAUUAGCUUGUUGGUGAGGUAACGGCUCACCAAGGCGACGAUCAGUAGCUGGUCUGAGAGGAUGGUCAGCCACACUGGGACUGAGAUACGGCCCAGACUCCUACGGGAGGCAGCAGUCGAGAGGCUUCGGCAAUGGGGGAAACCCUGACCGAGCGACGCCGCGUGAGCGAUGAAGCCCUUCGGGGUGUAAAGCUCUUUUGUCCGGAAAGAAAGCAUCUGGUUAAUACCCGGGUGUUCUGACGGUACCGGAAGAAUAAGCACCGGCUAACUUCGUGCCAGCAGCCG
rnacentral:rRNA from 1 species